rnacentral:lncRNA from 1 species
CACGUUGGGGUGCGCGCUACUUAAGGUCCUGCUGCGUGAGCCACUGACGUGUUUGGAACAGCAACCGGCUCCGGUGCUGGCCGUGUGGUGGCCUGUGGUUUACGGCGUGGUGAAUUUCUGCUUCCGGAUUUAACACUCACAGACCAGACUGAGAAGCCUGGGGGCCUAGACUUGUUCAGUAACGUGCCCUUCCCCCACUACGGAUCAAAGCUACGAGGAGAGUGGGAAAUCAGGAACUCCUUUGUAAGAAGUAAGACAAGAUGCCCAUGGUCACACGGCGGCUGAGAGACCCUGACAUAAAUCCUUGCUUAUCGGUAGGGCGUGUAUAGAAUUCUGUCAUGAUCCAAAGAAGACAAAAUGGAGUUCAGCCAUCUAUGCCUACAGCAGCAGAAAGAGAUGAAAUUUUGGGAGCAAUGCAAAAGAUGCCCUAUUGAGUAUUUGCAUUAAAAUUGUUUCUAUAACUUGAA